ensembl:lncRNA
AUGAGGGCUUUUUCACGGCCAACAGCAGACGCCAACCCUGACCAACUUUGUUGGAAGGCUUUCGGGGCCUUGGAAUUGUGGAGGACUAGCAAGACUGGGGACCAGUGGUUGCUCAGGCUGCUCCAAGGUCCUCAGUGGUGGUCUUGUAGUGGGGACAGUCUGUCAGGGUGGCCUGCGAGCCAGGAGGUGGGGAGCGCCCGUCCCACUGGCCUUGCUUCGGUCGCUUGCCUACCCACUUGGCAUUUGCCCCUCCACCUCCUCAUCACUGGGUUCCCGUGGCCCCUGGCUUCUGGCUGGUUUUGGCCAGUGGGAGGCACCAACAGGAGGUGGAAGAAGAGGGAGGUUGGGGUGUUUGUCCCUGGCUCCCACCCUGCCUAGGACUGUGGUUUCAGCAAUGGCUGGGCCCGCCUCCCCACCUCCAAUUAUAGCUCUUGCCGUAACCCCCUUCACUGGCCCUGAUAACUCCAUAUCCUCCCCUUACCCCUGCCGCCUGGGAUGCUAAGGCCCCCACCACUGCUAGUCCCAGGGUGGCUUCCUUAAUGCCCACGCCCAAGUAAGUAGUCCAUUAAAUUCCCUUACAAACAGAAGCUGAGGCUGCCUUUGUUUCUUGCCAGGACCCUGACAGACACGAGGGCUUUCUUAGGUUUUGUUCUAAAAGCCCAGCUCCCGUGGACUGUCUUAGACAACAGCCAAAGACAAGACCCCCGCACUGUCUGUGGGUGCCGGGCAUCGUGUCUCCAUAGGACUUUCCUAACUGCCUCAUCACCCGGCCUUCAGCCCGAACCGGGAGAGGGCUGAGGAGGGGAGUUUUUGAAGGCAACUCCUAGGAGCAGAGGGCACUCAAGGAGGGGAGAGGGUGUGUCCCCCAACUUGGGCCAUGCGAGGGGGCUCCAAGAAGGGUGAGGCUGUCUGUAGGAGAGACCCUGGCUGAGCGGCUGCAAAGGGCCGCUACUGCAGCAGGGGGAGGGGCUGUUGGGAAGAGGGCUGGGGCCCUCAGGGUCACUGGCAGGACAAGGAUGUAGUGUCCCUUGAGCACCUCUAGGACACAUCAGGCACCCUUUAAUCCCUAUGUAGGCAGCAGCGGACAGACAUGACUUUCAGCCCUGCUGGAGCUAGAGGGGGAAAAAAUGACAACGUGAAAUGAUGAGCAUAGUGAAAAAGAAAGCAGAGGAGGGAUGGGAAGGAAGGCCAUGGUGAGAAGGGGUGACGGCUGACUCGGGGUCCCAGGUCCGCCGUCGCUUUUGUGGUGGGGGACGCUUCCCUCCCCAUAUUUUCCCUCUUUGUCAAGGGGGCAACGAGGAAGCGUUUGGUGUCUCUCCCCGCUUUUCUUGGUAGUUUGGGGCAAGUUCAGUUGACGGAGCUCAGAGGGUGGCCAAGAGUAAAGCAGGUUGGAGAUGCGGAGGGAAUCGAAUGCCAGGCUAAGUCACUCGAAGCGGACCCUGAGGCCUUUGGAACUGGGGUGUGUUGAGGCAUGAUCUUGCGUCUCCUGUUUGCCCCCUGGGAUUUAUGUAACCUGGGGGCUUGAUUUUAUUUUGGUGGGAGAGAGGUGUGCAUGCUGCCUACCAGGGAAAACAUACAGGUGAUAGGUUGGUCUUCCUUUCUUAAAAUAAAGGAGGGGCGCCUGGGUGGCUCAGUCGGUUAAGUGUCCAACUUCAACUCAGGUCGUGAUCUCAUGGUUCGUGAGUUCAAGCCCCACGUCAGGCUCUGUGCUGACAGCUCAGAGUCUGGAGCCUGCUUCAGAAUCUGUGUCUCCUCCUCUCUCUGCCCCUCCCCUGCUCGCUCGCUCUCUCUGCCUCUCAAUAAUAAAUAAACGUUAAAAUUUUUUUUUAAUAAAAUAAAAUAAAAUAAAAUAAAAUAAAAUAAAAUAAAAUAAAAAAGGAAUGCAUAGGCAUAGUUGGGAAAAAGGUGUGCUGAAAGGCCCUUCCUUGAAAAACAGCAUUCCCACCCUGGUGUUUGAGUCCUUCUGGUGGGUCUUUUCCAUUUCAUUGUAUGGCCACUUGGGGGCCCUUCCACACUGGAGGCUGUGUCCUCAUUCUGAGAAUGUUCCGCUCUGUUGCCUGUUCUCCAUUUUCUCUGUUCUCUCUCUUUUUAGCUUUAAAAAUAUUAUUCUUAAGUAAUCUCUGCACCCAGUGUAGGGCUCAAACUCAUGACCCCAGGAUCAAGAGUCUCACGCUUCACCGACUGAGUCAGCCAGGCACCCCUCUGUUCUCUUUCUUGUAAUUUUAUUAGUUAGAUGCUGGACCUCCCAAAUCAAUCCUGUAUUUGUUCUUAUCUUUUGUCUGACAUUUUUCAUCUCUGUGUUUUUAAUUCUAAUUUCUGGAGCCCACCCUUAAUGUCCAACAUUCCUAUUGACUACAAUAUUAGCUUUUCAUGUUAUUUUUAUUUUCCAGGUCCCUCUUGUUUUAAGGCUUUAUUUGGGGUAUAAUUUACAUAUCAUAAAAU